ACUGUUACUAUAGGCACCAUCUCUCCCUACUAUAUAAUAUAUACAGUAUAAUAUUAGUGAUGAUAAAAAUGGUGAGAGGUGCUGCAGAACUGCACGUUAUUGUUAUACAUUUUUGCUUAGUGUAUUUCCAGAAUUAUUGGCCCCAGAGAUGGACUCUCAGUUGCUCCUGUAAGAAAUCUCAGAUAAUUUAAUUGGGAUUCACUACAAAUCAUGGCUUGUGUUUUAUUUAGGUGCAGACAACAUAAUGGCAAACAGGGGAUAAAUAAAUUGUGUUUCAGAGUUUCUUGGCUGAGCUGUCACCUCUGAUUUGCCGGAGCUCGUGUUCCCUUGUGCCCAGGGCCAGUAAUGCACAAAGGGAUGGGGCAGCCGGUGAGGAUGGAGGGAGGGGGGAUCAAGUCUGGGUUUAUUUUUUCUUCUCCUCCAUUUUCUUGUGGCCCCUCAGAGCUGUGUGUAUUUGUGGGUUAGAGGAGAACUGUCAGGUUUAAUCAGAGCCAGGGGAAGGGGGAGGAGGUAAAGCCGUCAGGACAGAUUAUGGCACAGGCUACAUGGCAGUUCCUAUACUGGUUUAUACCUGAAUGGAAUCGGCUCUGUUUGUUGCUGAUCUGUCUGUUGGGCCGCACCCUGUGCUUAUAAUAUAUUGCCUGUGUCCACUUCUACAAGUUAUCAAACCAGAAUUACUGCAGCUUGUUUCCCCACCACUUAAUUCAACAACAAACAGGAGUCAGAACCAACAGUGCAGAGAAUAUUACCCACCAGUCAGACUACAGACAGUCAGCAAAACAGCUUUGGCGUGGGACUGUGGCACAUAUGUGCUUUAAGAAGCUGCGGGCAGUUUACAGCAUCAUGAGCAACAUGUUGGACUACAGGAAGAGCGUGGAGUGACCAGAACCACCGACCGUGCUGGAAAAGUUCCAGGAGAUCAGCAAGAUCCUUUUAAAAAGAUGGAGAGCCAGGCAGAUAGUGAAGAACAUUCCUCCCUCGGAUAUGUCUUAGAUCAAUGCCAAGGUGGUCGCUAUGGAUCUGCGUAAGGAUCUGCGUUAUGACGUUGGGUACGAGUGGGCCUGGAGGCAAGACUACCUGUCCUAGGAGAAAGAUAACCCUCCAGCAGCUUCUCAAUUUUCCAAAACCCUUCAGGAGCUGAAGAAGAAUGAGAGUCACCGCUCAGUAUUGUUUUCAUGCCAUGUACGGAAGCACAAAGACGCUGGCUGGAGUAGUGGAGAAAGGGAGAGCAGUGGGGCCUCAUUGUAUUGCAGUGAUUUUAUCAGUACAGAGUCGGACUCCCAGCAGCCCCAGCGCUUUGUCUCACUCACUAAUGAGGGAUUUCGGGGACCCCGGCAGAUUUGUCUGAGAGGCAGAGGAGGAGUGUGGGGCGUGUUCUGCCGCUUCAUGGAAUAUUGUCAUUGUCAGAAUAGGAACAGCUGAAAGUGUCUAGUUACCCUUGUAUAGGACCAGUUUGACCUGUUUUUACUGCCUUUUGGUAUUUACUAUGUUUAACUGCACCGCGAGGAGUAAAUGUAAAUGUUCAUGUGCUCUUUAUAUCUCUGCUCUGUAUAAAAUUAAAGUGUUUGAAAGGAAUAACAAUAAAUUGUACGGUUGCCCUGAACUGGUACAACUGCUGUGUAUACAACUAUAGUUUAUAUAAUCAAGCUGCUGUUUGUUUGUAUGAACUGCUGCACAGGAUACUCAAUAGAUAACAGAUACGUUCUGAAGAAUCCCAUUGUAUACCACAGAGCUUAUCUGUUAUCUGUUCUGUAUCGUGUGCUUUUUCUCCCUUUUCAGCUUUGAAUGGCUGCCCCCAU